rnacentral:rRNA from 1 species
AGCGAACGCUGGCGGCAGGCCUAACACAUGCAAGUCGAACGAACUCUUCGGAGUCAGUGGCGGACGGGUGAGUAACACGUGGGAACGUGCCUUUAGGUUCGGAAUAACUCAGGGAAACUUGUGCUAAUACCGAAUGUGCCCUUCGGGGGAAAGAUUUAUCGCCUUUAGAGCGGCCCGCGUCUGAUUAGCUAGUUGGUUGGGGUAAUGGCCCACCAAGGCGACGAUCAGUAGCUGGUCUGAGAGGAUGACCAGCCACAUUGGGACUGAGACACGGCCCAAACUCCUACGGGAGGCAGCAGUGGGGAAUCUUGCGCAAUGGGCGAAAGCCUGACGCAGCCAUGCCGCGUGUAUGAUGAAGGUCUUAGGAUUGUAAAAUACUUUCACCGGUGAAGAUAAUGACUGUAGCCGGAGAAGAAGCCCCGGCUAACUUCGUGCCAGCCGCCGCCGUAAAAC